rnacentral:miRNA from 10 species
UAUUAGGUUAGUACAAAAGUAAUUGCGGAUGUUGACAUUGAUUUCAAGGGCAAAGUCUGCAAUUACUUUUGUAGCAGCCUGAUAUAU